rnacentral:rRNA from 1 species
CCUUACACAUGCAAGUCGAACGGCAGCACGGGUGCUUGCACCUGGUGGCGAGUGGCGAACGGGUGAGUAAUACAUCGGAACGUACCUUAUCGUGGGGGAUAACGCAGCGAAAGCUGUGCUAAUACCGCAUACGCCCUGAGGGGGAAAGCGGGGGAUCGCAAGACCUCGCGCGAUUAGAGCGGCCGAUGCCUGAUUAGCUUGUUGGUGGGGUAAAAGCCCACCAAGGCGACGAUCAGUAGCUGGUCUGAGAGGACGAUCAGCCACACUGGGACUGAGACACGGCCCAGACUCCUACGGGAGGCAGCAGUGGGGAAUUUUGGACAAUGGGGGCAACCCUGAUCCAGCAAUGCCGCGUGAGUGAAGAAGGCCUUCGGGUUGUAAAGCUCUUUUGUCAGGGAAGAAACACCGGCUCUAACACAGUCCGGGAAUGACGGUACCUGAAGAAUAAGCACCGGCUAACUACGUGCCAGCAGCCGCGGUAAUACGUAGGGUGCGAGCGUUAAUCGGAAUUACUGGGCGUAAAGCGUGCGCAGGCGGUUAUACAAGACAGGCGUGAAAUCCCCGGGCUUAACCUGGGAAUGGCGCCUGUGACUGUAUAGCUAGAGUGUGUCAGAGGGGGGUAGAAUUCCACGUGUAGCAGUGAAAUGCGUAGAUAUGUGGAGGAAUACCAAUGGCGAAGGCAGCCCCCUGGGAUAACACUGACGCUCAUGCACGAAAGCGUGGGGAGCAAACAGGAUUAGAUACCCUGGUAGUCCACGCCCUAAACGAUGCUGACUAGUUGUUCGGGAUUUACAUCCUGAGUAACGUAGCUAACGCGUGAAGUCAGCCGCCUGGGGAGUACGGUCGCAAGAUUAAAACUCAAAGGAAUUGACGGGGACCCGCACAAGCGGUGGAUGAUGUGGAUUAAUUCGAUGCAACGCGAAAAACCUUACCUACCCUUGACAUGUCACUAACGAAGUAGAGAUACAUUAGGUGCUCGUAAGAGAAAGUGAACACAGGUGCUGCAUGGCUGUCGUCAGCUCGUGUCCUGA